rnacentral:rRNA from 1 species
GAUCCUGGCUCAGGAUGAACGCUAGCGACAGGCUUAACACAUGCAAGUCGAGGGGCAUCAUGAGGUAGCAAUACCUUGAUGGCGACCGGCGCACGGGUGAGUAACGCGUAUGCAACCUGCCCGGAUACCGGGGUAUAGCCCAUGGAAACGUGGAUUAACACCCCAUAGUACUUUUAUCCUGCAUGGGAUAGGAGUUAAAUGUUCAAGGUAUCGGAUGGGCAUGCGUCCUAUUAGUUAG